CUUAUCAAGAGCGACUGAGGGACAGGCCCUGUGACGUCCGGCAACCUACAUUCUGUAAGGUGCUAAUUCCUGCGGUAAUUACCGAAAGAUGAG
rnacentral:ncRNA from 1 species